AAACCACAGCAGAGUCGGAAGAGUGGGGCGGAGCAAAUGUGUGCAGGACGGGAGUCGAGCAGAGAGAGCUGCUUUGUCAUGAAACGGGAGUAAAGUAGUGAACUUAGAGGAGAGAAACAAACUAAAGCAUCGAUCAUAAACCACUACCAACGUCCUGAUCGAUAUCUGCAUCGAUCUGCCCACCCUUGUCUCCUGGAUCGUAGCUGCGAUCAGCGUGAACCACGUGGGUCUCUGCUCCCUGAUCUGUUUCCUGUGUUUGGAAAGAGUUGCAGCUUCAUCGCGGAGUUUCUCUCGGUUUGUGGGCUCAUCUAAAGCUGAUCAUCAGGAGGAGACGAGCCAUUUAGACUCAGCUCAGCCACUACAGAGGAAACAAUGACUUCAACCCAAAAGGACCAACACGGAGCGAGAAGUCAGCGCUCUCAGG